CACUCACAUUUCACUUCUACUACUCUUUUACACUUCACGUUCUCUCUUCUCCUCUUUGCUCUUUCACUCUCACCACCAUCUCACCUCUAUCAAUUCCUCCUAUACCCAAUUCCAAACCCUAUUACCAACAGCCCCAUUUCAUCCUUCUCCUCAAUUACCAACAGCUCACCUCCAUCAAUUUCUCUUAUUCCCAAUUCCAAACCCUAAUUCCAAUUACGGGAUACAAAGACAAACCAAAUACCAAGUGAAGAUUCUUUGUUAAAAAUCUUAGGCUGAUGUAGUCCACUUAUUUUUGAUCAUUUACAUUUCAAGAAAGAGGAAGAGAAAUAAGAAGCAAAAGAGGUAUUGGAAAUGGCAUUCCUCUUGAUGUUGUUACUACUCCUAAGAUUGCAAAGGUUUUGACUCACAGAUAUUACUUUAACUUUGGUGGAAAUCCUGUUUGUAUAGAUGUAGAAUUGGCUGUUUUGAAAGUAAUAAUAGAAAAGAGUGAGGUCCCAUUUGAAAGAGGGACUUAACGCACUCAAAGACAAAUAUAAAUGUAAGGUUUCUAUUCCUUUUUCCAUCUAAGAUUAAUGCAUAAGAAAGCAUUCAUGAAUUCAUUCUAGGGAGAGUAACAUAAAAGAAUCAUAAUUUGUUUUUCUCUCUUUAUGUCUCUAAUAAACUUGUUUUUUUAUUCUAUUAUAAUUGCUGAUGUGAGGAAAAGGUUUGAUGCUUAGAGUUGAACUUGUCACUGGCUGUGAACUUAAAAUGCCAGCCAAAGAUGAAACACGAAAGGUGAUGGGCCAAAUAAAAGGUUCUGGAAUUGUAUUCAGAAAUCAGCUCCCUUAUCUUUUACCAAAGAUGUUUCCUAAUGGAUGCUAUGAAGUGCACAUUAUCUAGAAUUUGACCUGUGAAGCUUAAAUAAGAUGCAAGUGUAAAUAAAUGACAACUUAUUUUAUGAUAAGUUAAACUCUAUUAGAAUAUUAUGUAUUCACUCAAGCAAGUAAAGUUUAUAAAUUUUAAAUGCUUGCUUAGACCAAUAUAAUUUAAAAUUUCUAUUGUGAAUUUGAUUUCA